rnacentral:rRNA from 1 species
UACGAAGGGGGCUAGCGUUGCUCGGAAUCACUGGGCGUAAAGCGCACGUAGGCGGACUCUUAAGUCGGGGGUGAAAUCCUGGAGCUCAACUCCAGAACUGCCUUCGAUACUGGCGAUCUUGAGUCCGGAAGAGGUGAGUGGAACUCCUAGUGUAGAGGUGGAAUUCGUAGAUAUUAGGAAGAACACCAGUGGCGAAGGCGGCUCACUGGUCCGGUACUGACGCUGAGGUGCGAAAGCGUGGGAGCAAACAGG